UCUGGGAGUUGCUCUAGUAUUAGGCAUAGCCAUAUGUAAUUUAAAGUUGAAGUGUUAAAAUUAUUUUGAUAUAUCUCAGUGAAUCAGAAUAUUUCAAUUGUUUCCAAACUGAUCCAAAAUAGUAGCUUGAACACUGAAAAUUCCUUGAGUCCAUUUAAUCUUAUGGAAAGUACGCUUGCCUUCUGUUUGUAAAAAUACCUGUUUUUGGAUAGAUCACAGUGAGGCAGAAAUUCAUACAUUUGGCUUUUCACUGAAGUUAGUGAUGGGGUGGCUGUAAUGGGGGCUAGUUUAAGUUUUACUGGCAGACUUCCCUUAACUAGACUUGAUCUUACAGCUUUAGUGUUCUCAAGAACACACUUAACUAAUGAAAUUUAAAAGAAGGUAGUGUCCAUUUAAUUUUGAUUAUAUUCUUCAUUUUAUCUAAAAUACAUUUUUAAUUGUACUAUUUCUGUGGACCUAAUGAGGGGAAAAACUUGUUUCUGAAAAAUUGAAUCACAGCUGUAGUAGUAGAUAAGGCUGACGUUCAGUUCUUAGAAAGAGGCAAUCAAUGUUGAAUGUAUCAGAUAUUUUAAGAACUUUGUAAACAACACAAAAUCAAGAGAUAGAAGUUGACAAAAGCCUUCAUUACAUGUUGCUUGUAUAUUCCUUAUGCAUUGUUACUAGGAUGAAUAUUUUUUCCUAAUGUUCCAAAAGAAGUGGUCCUUGGUGGAGAAGCUGAUCUUUACUGAUAUUCUGCAUUACUAAGAAGAGGGGUAACUGUCGUAAAGAUCAUGAGGAGAGUAAGAAUAAGAAGCUCCUUGGCUUGCUCUUCUCCAAGGGUGCCCAGCAUCCAAGAACUCUUGCCCUGCCUGCCACCUACAUAGGAAAUGCUGUGACAGAAAUGCCAUCUUCAUGUUCUUCAGUAUUACUGCAGACUCUCAGAAGGGUGUGAAGUCUGAGGGGAGAGCUGGUACUUAUUGUCUUUAUAACUGCUGAUAUCCCAGACCAUCCUUCAGGUACAGAAGCUCUUCUUGAGGUUCCUGCAACAGAAGAAAUAUUUCUUCAAGUUGGCAAUUCCCACUGCAAAGGCCAGCUUGCUUGUGUGGACAGAUAGGUGAAGAAAACAGACUUUUUUCAUUUUUUUUCCUCAAAACCAUGCAUUUCUAUGAGUGCAGAGCUAAUCCAAGUGUGAGAACACCAGUGUCAUGCAAAUCAGAGAUAUGUAUUUGCUUUUUGCAUUAUUUGAAAGCAAUCUUAGAAUGAAUCUGCUAAAAAUAAAGAGAAGAGUCUUGAAGGUCCUAAACAGAGCCUGAUUGUUAGAAUGGCAUCUGAGUGUUUCCAAUAUAUUGGCUGUGAUGUGACUGCAGAUAUAUUUUUAUUUUUACAAAUUAGCAGAUGAGAAACAAUUACUUCCUAAUAAAGCAUCUCAGAGAGAGUGAACGAUCAUUUUAAGUGAUGAGGUUUAACUUCAGAAUCAUUCAAAAUUCUGUGAAGAACAUCAAAGUGCUCUUUAUCAUUGAUUAUUUUACUGUUGAUUAAAAAUUGAAAAGUCAGGUAGAAACUGGUUCUUAAAAAAAAUCAAGAAUGUUUUAAUUUCAACUUUUUCUUGCAAAGUCACUUUUCUUUCUAUAAAACUGAGUUAUGAUUAAGUGCAAAGCUUUUAAAAAUUAAUAAAUUUAUUUCGUUUCUUAAAUGAGAAUCGUUGAUUUGGGGCUAAAUCUGAAUGGGGCUGACUGGUAGCACAACGUCUGCAAUUCUCUCUGGCUUAAUGCCUUCUGCCACGUGCCCCUUCAGAACACCAGCAGGAACUGUGGGACUGAGUUCUUAACCUCUGCAAUGUCUUUCAUUUGGGGAUACAUCUUUUUCUGUUGGAGGCACACUUAAAAUGAAUAAUUUUUAUUUUAUGUGGAAAUAUUUGCAUAGUCAUCUUGCAGCUCAGUCUAAGAGGAGCUUCUGCCGUGCUGAUAAUUCACUUGAAUCAACAGCCUGUGGUUUUCUUGUACAACUAAUUGAAAUUAACAAUCAGCCAGCUCUUAAAUUAGACAGAAAAGGUCACCGGGUUGCAGUCUGGGGAAUGGGUCAGGAUUUCAGCCUCUAGUAGCUCUGGUAGAGUUGAGUGUACCUUGCCUCAUCCUCAGGGGCCCAUUACAUGUGCAUGGACACCUAACCUGCCCAUGAGCCCAUAGUGCUCCUGUUAGUCACACACUUCAUGUCUGCUUGAUACCUCCUGCUCUAAAGGGAGGACACAGGCCUGAUGCAAACGCUUCUGGAGACUGCGGUUAUUAAUACGGAAUGUCAAAACACCAGCCAGGCAUGUGCAUGAGCUUGGGGCCCCAACACCAGCAUGUGAAGAGCUGCUGUGGCACAGUACCAUGGGGCCCAGACCUAGCCCCUGACAGAGGCCCCAGAAAUGCAGGUUGGUGCCUGCAGAUGCCCUCCUCUGCAGUGCUUCCUUCCACUUCCAGGCCCAGGUGUUUUAAGCUGAUACCACCCACCAGAGUACUAAGAAAGAACAAAAAAGCAAUGUUGAAGUGUAACACCACCCAGCCUCAAC